GCAAGUCGAACGAGGAAGCCAGCUUGCUGGGUGGAUUAGUGGCGAACGGGUGAGUAACACGUGAGUAACCUGCCCUUAACUCUGGGAUAAGCCUGGGAAACUGGGUCUAAUACCGGAUAGGAGCGUCCACCGCAUGGUGGGUGUUGGAAAGAUUUAUCGGUUUUGGAUGGACUCGCGGCCUAUCAGCUUGUUGGUGAGGUAAUGGCUCACCAAGGCGACGACGGGUAGCCGGCCUGAGAGGGUGACCGGCCACACUGGGACUGAGACACGGCCCAGACUCCUACGGGAGGCAGCAGUGGGGAAUAUUGCACAAUGGGCGAAAGCCUGAUGCAGCGACGCCGCGUGAGGGAUGACGGCCUUCGGGUUGUAAACCUCUUUCAGUAGGGAAGAAGCGAAAGUGACGGUACCUGCAGAAGAAGCACCGGCUAACUACGUGCCAGCAGCCGCGGUAAUACGUAGGGUGCGAGCGUUAUCCGGAAUUAUUGGGCGUAAAGAGCUCGUAGGCGGUUUGUCGCGUCUGUCGUGAAAGUCCGGGGCUUAACCCCGGAUCUGCGGUGGGUACGGGCAGACUAGAGUGCAGUAGGGGAGACUGGAAUUCCUGGUGUAGCGGUGGAAUGCGCAGAUAUCAGGAGGAACACCGAUGGCGAAGGCAGGUCUCUGGGCUGUAACUGACGCUGAGGAGCGAAAGCAUGGGGAGCGAACAGGAUUAGAUACCCUGGUAGUCCAUGCCGUAAACGUUGGGCACUAGGUGUGGGGACCAUUCCACGGUUUCCGCGCCGCAGCUAACGCAUUAAGUGCCCCGCCUGGGGAGUACGGCCGCAAGGCUAAAACUCAAAGGAAUUGACGGGGGCCCGCACAAGCGGCGGAGCAUGCGGAUUAAUUCGAUGCAACGCGAAGAACCUUACCAAGGCUUGACAUGUUCUCGAUCGCCGUAGAGAUACGGUUUCCCCUUUGGGGCGGGUUCACAGGUGGUGCAUGGUUGUCGUCAGCUCGUGUCGUGAGAUGUUGGGUUAAGUCCCGCAACGAGCGCAACCCUCGUUCCAUGUUGCCAGCACGUAAUGGUGGGGACUCAUGGGA
rnacentral:rRNA from 2 species